GUGGUUGUGCCUCCAGAUCUCAUGGAGAGACAAGCAAAGGGGAGUGGGUGGCAUGUUUUGCAGAAGGGUGAAUCUCAAACUACACAGGGAAUGAAAGAAUGCUGGACACUGGAGAGAGGGGUGGAAGAGUGGCUCUACAUUUACUGAGUUCUGUGACCUAAGACAAGUCACAGGUUUUUUGUUUGUUUGUUUAUUUUUGAGAUGGAGUCUCAUCCUUUCACCCAAGCUGGAGUGCAGUGGCAUGAUCUCGGCUCACUGCAACCUCUGUCUCCUGGAUUCAAGUGAUUCUCCUGCCUCAGCCUCCCCAGUAGCUGGGACUACAGGUGCGUGCCACCACGCUAGCUAAUUUUUGUAUUUUUUUUUUUAGUAGAGAUGGGGUUUCACCA
rnacentral:lncRNA from 10 species